AGGAGUGUAGCUCAAUGGUAGAGCACCGGUCUCCAAAACCGGAGGUUGCGGGUUCAAGUCCUGUCUCUCCUG
rnacentral:tRNA from 1 species